CCUACGGGAGGCAGCAGUGAGGAAUAUUGGUCAAUGGACGAGAGUCUGAACCAGCCAAGUAGCGUGAAGGAUGACUGCCCUAUGGGUUGUAAACUUCUUUUAUAUGGGAAUAAAACGUUCCACGUGUGGGAUUUUGUAUGUACCAUAUGAAUAAGGAUCGGCUAACUCCGUGCCAGCAGCCGCGGUCAUACGGCGGAUCCGAGCGUUAUCCGGAUUUAUUGGGUUUAAAGGGAGCGUAGGUGGAUUGUUAAGUCAGUUGUGAAAGUUUGCGGCUCAACCGUAAAAUUGCAGUUGAAACUGGCAGUCUUGAGUACAGUAGAGGUGGGCGGAAUUCGUGGUGUAGCGGUGAAAUGCUUAGAUAUCACGAAGAACUCCGAUUGCGAAGGCAGUUCACUGGACUGCAACUGACACUGAGGCUCGAAAGUGUGGGUAUCAAACAGGAUUAGAUACCCUUGUAGUC
rnacentral:rRNA from 1 species